rnacentral:tRNA from 2 species
GGAGGGAUGGCUGAGCCUGGUUUAAGGCGCUCGAUUCGAAAUCGAGUGAUGCGCAAGUAUCCGUGGGUUCGAAUCCCACUUCCUCCGCCA